GUGGGGAAUAUUGGACAAUGGGGGGAACCCUGAUCCAGCCAUGCCGCGUGUGUGAAGAAGGCCUUUUGGUUGUAAAGCACUUUAAGCGAGGAGGAGGCUACCGAGAUUAAUACUCUUGGAUAGUGGACGUUACUCGCAGAAUAAGCACCGGCUAACUCUGUGCCAGCAGCCGCGGUAAUACAGAGGGUGCAAGCGUUAAUCGGAUUUACUGGGCGUAAAGCGCGCGUAGGUGGCCAAUUAAGUCAAAUGUGAAAUCCCCGAGCUUAACUUGGGAAUUGCAUUCGAUACUGGAAAGCUAGAGUAUGGGAGAGGAUGGUAGAAUUCCAGGUGUAGCGGUGAAAUGCGUAGAGAUCUGGAGGAAUACCGAUGGCGAAGGCAGCCAUCUGGCCUAAUACUGACGCUGAGGUACGAAAGCAUGGGGAGCAAACAGGAUUAGAAACCCCGGUAGUCC
rnacentral:rRNA from 1 species